rnacentral:snoRNA from 1 species
AAUUGCGAUGAUGACUCCGAAAAUUCAAGCUCAACAGACCGGAAUGCAGGUUUUUCUCUUCAGAGAAUACAUUUGCGUGUCGACAACCCCGCUGAACUGAGCAAUC